rnacentral:rRNA from 1 species
UACGUAGGGGGCAAGCGUUGUCCGGAAUCAUUGGGCGUAAAGCGCGUGUAGGCGGCCCGGUAAGUCCGCUGUGAAAGUCCAGGGCUCAACCCUGGGAUGCCGGUGGAUACUGUCGGGCUCGAGUCCGGAAGAGGAGUGUGGAAUUCCUGGUGUAGCGGUGAAAUGCGCAGAUAUCAGGAGGAACACCGGUGGCGAAGGCGGAUCUCUGGGCCGAUACUGACGCUGAGGAGCGAAAGCGUGGGGAGCGAACAGG